rnacentral:misc_RNA from 1 species
GAUGAAGAACGUAGCGAAAUGCGAUAAGUAGUGUGAAUUGCAGAAUUCAGUGAAUCAUCGAAUCUUUGAACGCACAUUGCGCCCUUUGGUAUUCCUUAGGGCAUGCCUGUUCGAGCGUCAUUUAAACCUUCAAGCUAAGCUUGGUGUUGGGUGACUGUCCGCUUCACUGCGGACUCGCCUCAAAAUUAUUGGCGGCCGGUACAUUGGCUUCGAGCGCAGCAGAAACGCGAACUCGGGCCCGUCGUAUUGGCUCCCAGAAGCUAUCUUCACAAUCUUGAACUCGGAUCAGGCAGGGAUACCCGCUGAACUUAAGCAUAUCAAUAAGCGGAGGA